rnacentral:rRNA from 1 species
AAACUCUAUACGGGAGGCAGCAGUAGGGAAUCUACCGCAAUGGGCGAAAGCCUGACGGAGCAACGCCGCGUGAGUGAUGAAGGUCUUCGGAUCGUAAAACUCUGUUAUUAGGGAAGAACAAGGAUGUAAGUAACUAUGCAUCCCUUGACGGUACCUAAUCAGAAAGCCACGGCUAACUACGUGCCAGCAGCCGCGGUAAUACGUAGGUGGCAAGCGUUAUCCGGAAUUAUUGGGCGUAAAGCGCGCGUAGGCGGUUUUUUAAGUCUGAUGUGAAAGCCCACGGCUCAACCGUGGAGGGUCAUUGGAAACUGGAAAACUUGAGUGCAGAAGAGGAAAGUGGAAUUCCAUGUGUAGCGGUGAAAUGCGCAGAGAUAUGGAGGAACACCAGUGGCGAAGGCGACUUUCUGGUCUGCAACUGACGCUGAUGUGCGAAAGCGUGGGGAUCAAACAGGAUUAGAUACCCUGGUAGUCCACGCCGUAAACGAUGAGUGC